UCCCUGAUAUUUCAGUUGGUAGAGCACUCGACGGUUAAUCGAGUUGUCACAGGUCUUAGCCCUAUUCGGGGAGCCA
rnacentral:tRNA from 1 species